rnacentral:rRNA from 1 species
AUCUUGCGCAAUGGCCGAAAGGCUGACGCAGCGACGCCGCGUGUGGGAGGAAGCUCUUCGGGGUGUAAACCACUGUUGCCCGGGACGAACGGCACUAUUCGUAGUGCGUGACGGUACCGGGUGAGGAAGCACCGGCUAACUCUGUGCCAGCAGCCGCGGUAAUACAGAGGGUGCGAGCGUUGUCCGGAAUCACUGGGCGUAAAGGGCGCGUAGGCGGUCCAGUAAGCGUGUGGUGAAAGCCCGGGGCUCAACCCCGGGUCGGCCGUGCGAACUGCUGUGACUCGAGCACUGUAGAGGCAGGCGGAAUUCCGGGUGUAGCGGUGGAAUGCGUAGAGAUCCGGAAGAACACCGGUGGCGAAGGCGGCCUGCUGGGCAGUAUAGCUGACGCUGAGGCGCGACAGCGUGGGGAGCAAAC